rnacentral:rRNA from 1 species
AAUACGUAGGGCGCAAGCGUUGUCCGGAAUUAUUGGGCGUAAAGAGCUCGUAGGCGGCCUGUCGCGUCCGUCGUGAAAGCCCGGGGCUUAACUCCGGGUCUGCGGUGGAUACGGGCAGGCUAGAGGCAGGUAGGGGAGAAUGGAAUUCCCGGUGUAGCGGUGAAAUGCGCAGAUAUCGGGAGGAACACCGGUGGCGAAGGCGGUUCUCUGGGCCUGUACUGACGCUGAGGAGCGAAAGCGUGGGGAGCGAACAG